rnacentral:misc_RNA from 1 species
UGAGUAAACCUGAUGUGGCUGUUAGCUGGCUUAGGCAUGUGCUCGUCCAUCAUCUUUAUUUCUCCACCUGUGCACAUUUUGUAGACUUGGAUAAUGGCUCUGUCAUUUACAAGACUAUGUUUUCAAUAUACCCAAAGCAUGUUUAAAGAAUGUCAUCAAUAGGAACUUGGUUUCCUAUUAGAAACUAUACAACUUUCAGCAACGGAUCUCUUGGCUCUCGCAUCGAUGAAGAACGCAGCGAAAUGCGUUAAGUAAUGUGAAUUGCAGAAUUCAGUGAAUCAUCGAAUCUUUGAACGCACCUUGCGCUCCUUGGUAUUCCGAGGAGCAUGCCUGUUUGAGUGUCAUUAAAUUCUCAACCUUUCCAUUAAUUUGGUUUGGCUUGGAU